GACUGUAUAUAGCCCAACAGUACAGAAUGUCUAUGCAGCUAUUAUACUGUUUUUGUACAGAACAUACAGGCCUGUUAUAAUACAAGUGUGUUGUUUGGGACUGUGUGCAGAACAGAAUGCAUUAUUCCACAUGAAUUGUUUUUACAUAUAGAACAUUUAAAGGUUUAACAUAUUCUACUGGUCAGUCAUAGAACAUUUAAAGGUUUAACAUAUUCUACUGGUCAGUCAUAGAACAUUUAAAGGUUUAACAUAUUCUACUGGUCAGUCAUAGAACAUUUAAAGGUUUAACAUAUUCUACUGGUCAGUCAUAGAACAUUUAAAGGUUUAACAUAUUCUACUGGUCAGUCAUAGAACAUUUAAAGGUUUAACAUAUUCUACUGGUCAGUCAUAGAACAUUUAAAGGUUUAACAUAUUCUACUGGUCAGUCAUAGAACAUUUAAAGGUUUAACAUAUUCUACUGGUCAGUCAUAGAACAUUUAAAGGUUUAACAUAUUCUACUGUUGUCAUUUUAGACCAACAGAAAUAACAGGUUGGAGGUGAAAAGGGUUGAUACUGUAACGCAACGUGACCGUUGGUUACCCAGAAAAACAACACAUCCUGUGCUUCUACACCCAGGUACAAAACCAACAUUACUGUAACAAUUUGUUAACACAUUUCUAUAAGAAAAGAGAGAAAAAAAACUGGGAUAGCAUUAUCGCUCGGUAAUGUGAGCCCUCAAAAGCCUGAGUGCAACAUUGGAAGCAUGCAUUAGGCCUGAUUGUGUGCUUGUGUUGUGUAAUUGGUGACCAAUUAAGUAUUUUUGUGUGGAAAGGAUAUCCAUCGCUUUGUUGUAGUCGUUAGUGCGCAUGGGUUUGGAGAAUGAAAAAAAUCAAGCAUUUUCAGUUUGUAAGUACAGAAUGGCAGCUCAUAGGUAUGGAGACUCUGGUUGGUCACAGUUCCUUUUCAGUCUGUUGUAAGGGUUCCAGAAACCCGGUUGGAAGUUUCCUGCAACCAGGAGGGAAUAAGCAGGAAAUCCGAGAAUCAUCCAAACAGGAUUUCUGGAAAAAAACAGGGAAUUUUGGACAAAUGACCAGAAUUGUGCAACCCGAGGGGUUAUCAUGAUUUCCCAAUGUGUUUAUAUGUGCUGUGUAUGUAUGUGCUAGUCCAAUGAGUUCACAUGAAUGUAUUUUUUUAAGUGUAUUAUUUUUGUAUCAAUGUGAGGUGUCAUGAACCCCAUGUUUUGUAAGUUGUUUCUCUGUGAGAGAUUUUAAGUCAUGUUGUAUUCCCAUUUUGUUUUCAACACUGUAAAGACACCAUGAAUAAAAUAUGAUCUUAUAUUAAUAAUUA